GACGAACCGUGCAAACGUUGUUCGGAAUCACUGGGCUUAAAGGGCGCGUAGGCGGGCCAGCCAGUCUGUGGUGAAAGCCUCCAGCUUAACUGGAGAAGUGCCGUGGAUACUGCUGGCCUCGAGGAGGAUAGGGGCAUCUGGAACGGUCGGUGGAGCGGUGAAAUGCGUUGAUAUCGACCGGAACUCCGGUGGCGAAGGCGAGGUGCUGGGGUCCUUUCUGACGCUGAUUGCGCGAAAACCAGGGGGAGCAAACGGGGAUUAA
rnacentral:rRNA from 1 species